rnacentral:rRNA from 1 species
UACGGAGGGGGCUAGCGUUGUUCGGAAUUACUGGGCGUAAAGCGCACGUAGGCGGCUUUGUAAGUUAGAGGUGAAAGCCCAGGGCUUAACCCUGGAAUUGCCUUUAAGACUGCAUCGCUCGAAUUGUGGAGAGGUGAGUGGAAUUCCGAGUGUAGAGGUGAAAUUCGUAGAUAUUCGGAAGAAACACCAGUGGCGAAGGCGACUCACUGGACACAUAUUGACGCUGAGGUGCGAAAGCGUGGGGAGCAAACAGG